AAAAGACCCUUUUACGACGCGCAAACCACGACACUCCUUGAUUUAUGUUACGCAAAAGCAUGUGACAUUAAAAGAGUGUCAUCUCUUAAAAAAUUGAAGGAUUUAGGUCGCGCAUUAUUGCGUGCCCUUAAAUUAGUGUCUAACUAAAAAACACGGAGGGCACCUAUACUAAAAUGUGUGUCGUUUAAGGAUGUUGCUUUAUAAAUUUUAAUGGAACGCGCGUUUUCCAACCUUUGAUAAUUAAGCGGGAGCGAAAUCCUCAAAAAUUAGAAAACUCCGCCUUUUUCUCAUCUUCCUUCGUUUCUACUUUUCUCUUUUCCAUGGUUUAGCUUAAUGAAGCUCUGUGAAUUCCAUGAGUUAUCGUUAUGAAGUAUGGAAUGCAAAGCUUGAUUCUCGUUUGUUUCUAAUUUCCCAUAGAUAAAUCAAAACAACACACAGAAGAAGAACCCUAACGUGCGUCUUCCUUCUUUGUAGUUAGCGGGAGGUCUUUUAUUUUCUUCUAAAAUCCCAAUUCUCUCAUUUUUUCUAUUGAGAUUGAGGUUUUUUUUGUUCCUAAAAUUAGACUUUACAAAUUCAUUACGAUUGAGGGCUCUAUNNNNNNNNNNNNNNNNNNNNNNNNNNNNNNNNNNNNNNNNNAUCACUACAAGAAAAAGACCCUUUUACGACGCGCAAACCACGACACUCCUUGAUUUAUGUUACGCAAAAGCGUGUGACAUUAAAAGAGUGUCAUCUCUUAAAAAAAUUUAAGGAUUUAGGUCGCGCAUUAUUGCGUGCCCUUAAAUUAGUGUCUAACUAAAAAACACGGAGGGCACCUAUACUAAAAUGUGUGUCGUCUAAGGAUGUCGCUUUAUAAAUUUUAAUGGAACGCGCGUUUUCCAACCUUUGAUAGCUAAGCGGGAACGAAAUCCUCAAAAAUUAGAAAACUCCGCCUUUUUCUCAUCUUCCUUCGUUUCUACUUUUCUCUUUUCCAUGGUUUAGCUUAAUGAAGCUCUGUGAAUUCCAUGAGUUAUCGUUAUGAAGUAUGGAAUGCAAAGCUUGAUUCUCGUUUGUUUCUAAUUUCCCAUAGAUAAAUCAAAACAACACACAGACGAAGAACCCUAACGUGCGUCUUCCUUCUUUGUAGUUAGCGGGAGGUCUUUUAUUUUCUUCUAAAAUCCCGAUUCUCUCAUUUUUUCUAUUGAGAUUGAGGUUUUUUUGCUCCCGAAAAU
rnacentral:lncRNA from 1 species